AAAAGUAAUUUAAAGGAGUUAUUAAGGAUAACUAGCAAAUUUAUAAAAAAAGGAGGAAAAAUACCAAAAGCCACAAAGUUAAAUUAAAGUUUUAAAGCUUGGAUUUAACUAAUAUAAAUUGUGGCGGUCCUAAGGGAAACCUUUAUUAUUAAAACUUCCUGAAGUAAAACAUUUCAGUAAGGAAAGGAAAGGAAAUCAACCGAGACUCCGAAAGUAAUGGCGAGUGAAAUCGGAUUAGCCUAAAUAAUUUUAAAAAAAUUAAGUAUCCAAAGAAGGUAAACAGUCCUGUGAAUUAAAUUUUAAAAUUAUAAUUUUAAUCAACUAACUUACAAAAAGUAUUUCUACUAAUACAAAUUUUUUUGUAAAGGUCUGUUAAACUUGAGUUAGAAAAUUAAAAAAUUUAAAGUACGACGGGAGUUAACUUGUCGGAAUAUAGGGGAACCAUCCUCUAAGGCUAAGUAAUAUAAAUUUAGCGAUAGUGAAUAGUACUGUAAAGGAAAAGUUGAAAAAGUGUGUUAUAGACACAGUGAAAUAAAUUUGAAUUAGUAACUCUAUAAGCAGUCGAAGUUUAUUUUUAAUAUAAAUGACGGCGUACCUUUUGCAUAAUGGGUCAGCAAGUUAAUGGGAGUAGCAAGGUUAAAAGCCCUAGCGAAAGCGACUGAACUAAUCAGCUAUAAAAAUUAUGAUAAAUUAUAAUUUUUAGUGUAUUCUAAUAUUAUUUUAAUAUGGAAUAGGGUAAUGCCUUAUAAUUUUGUUUAUUAUGUCCGCCCUUCCCUUAGGAGGAUCGGGCACAAAUUUAUUGUAAGUUCAUUAUUUACUGAAUAUUAGUGUUGGGAAAGUUACUUCUAUUAGACCCGAAGCUAGGUGAUCUUUCCAAGACCAGAUUAUAAUGGAUCGAACGGGUGAAUGUAGCAUUAUUCUCCGAUGAGUUUUGGAAAGCGGUGAAAUGCCAAUCUGACCUAGUGAUAGCUGGUUUUCUACGAAACAUAUGCUAGUAUGACAUCUACAAAAAGAUUUAUGGUGUGUACAGCACUAUUUUCCAAAUAAACUACUUGUUAUUUUAUUACUCUCCUCUAGUUUUAGGGUAAAGAUAAUAAAAAGGAUAAGUAGUCAAUAUUCAGGUUGCGGGGACAAGGAAAUCUUACCGAUGGAUGAUAAACUCGGAAUGACAUAAAUUGAUGGUAGAUUUUCAGACUACUCCUGAUAAGUUGAGUAGUCUAGACGGAAACAGCCGAGAGCACGAAUCAAGGUCCCAAAUGAUUAUUAAGUGAAAUGAAGGAAGUGGCAUUUUGAACGCGACUGUAAAGUGAGCUUGGAAGUAGCUAUCUUUUAAAGACCGUAUAGAGUAACAACGUAACAGCCAGCAGAAUGUUGCACCGAAGAUUCAUCGGGUCUAAAAUAAUCAACCGAUAUCGUGUUGGUUUAGAAUAAAAUGCACAAUAAAGCUUACCUCACCGGGCCCACAGGCAGACUCGCAGGUUUACCAGCGGGUCUGCCAGUGUCUCCCAUGAGUGCCAGCGGUAUAAAUUAUUAUAUUCUAAAUCUAGGUAGUAGAACAUUCAGUAGUUCUUUAAAUAAAGCAGUGUUUCAUUGUUUUUAGGCAACUGAAGAGAUAAUGCUGACAUGAGUAACGUAUAAGAAGUUAUAAUACUUCUCGCCGAAUACGAAAGGGUUAUAAGGAAAGGUUAAACCGCCUUAUGUUAUUGCGGCCUCUAAGGACCAAAAACCAAAGUUUUGGCUGAUGAGUAUUUAACCUAAAGUC
rnacentral:ncRNA from 1 species